ensembl:lncRNA
CAGUAUAAUUCACUUGAUUUACAAAAGAAAUUCAAGAGGGAGACUAGAAUUUAUCCAAGGCCUAUUAUGAAGCCAAGCCUAGUCAACUGGGACAUCUAGUUCUCUGUUAAUCCUACCACUCAUGCUAUCUCUCCUACAACAUAUACAGAUAUCCCUCUCUCAGCAUCAGAGUUCAAAGGCACAGUAACAAUCAUAGAAGCAUGGGACCACAGGCCAGAGAACUGGGCUGCCAAUUUGAGGACUGCUCCAGUAGGCAGCUGGUUUUGAUUGUGGUCCAAGUUGGGGGGAGGGCAAGGCUAUGACUGGCUGCUGGCUAUAGAGGAUAACUGGAGUCAGGAAAGUUAUGAGGCAGAUGCUAGAUCAGCUUCUGAGGCCUAGGCUCUAGGCCCAUCAGCCAAGGAAGUCUACAGUCCAGUACCUUGGAGAGAAUCUGGACAGGUAGGGUCUGGGGAGGACGUUAAUGCCUCAUAAUAAGAUGAUAUUUACACAGAGACAAGAAGGAAAUGAGCUAAGAAAAUCAUGCUUUGGCUAUCUGUGCUUUUGCUCCCUGGGCAAAGGUAAAAACAAGCGCAAAGGCAGGAAAUAGGAGGGAGGCCAGCACGGCUAGAGCACAGUGAACAGAGCAGAGGGUAGGAGCAGCUGGACUCAGAGAAGUGGCAGGAGGCAGAUCAUGUAGGACUUCAAGGAUCAGAGAACAGGCUUUGGAUUUCACUCAGUGCAGAAAGCAUCCAAGAAGUAGAAGGAUAGCUGAUAUUAGGAAAAGGCUUAAACCUCUAGUUAAUAGAAUCAGCAAAUAAAGUUUGAAGGUAAAUCUAAGACUUUAGUUGAUAAAUUUAGUAAUAGCUGAUAAUAACUACAGUAACUUGUUGUUUCUGUUUCCUGUUGAAAUUUGGAAAAGUUCAACAGGAUAAAUACUAUUGAUAUGCGUCCAGUGGUUAAUGCGAGAGACUUGCCUGAUCUUUAGUCUAGACAGAAACAGUUGGGUGGUAAAAUAGUUAAACCUGUGUAAGUACCUGAAGGUUCUUUCAGAAUCCAGUAGUUUUGGUAGAUUAGCCAAUGAAAAUUAAGUCCCAUUCUGUCAGAGGUUAUGACCCACAGAGUUAAAUUCCAAUUUUGAUAACCUGGCCUGUCCCCUAGGCUGUUAAUUGAUCCAACUACUUCUCCAUUUGCCCACAUAUCUCAAGGUAUACCUAUAAAGUAUCAAAUGAAGUUAAAGUUUGUAAUUACCCACAUAUCUAGAUGUGAGUGACCCAGCUAUACCCUUUAAGAUCUAGUGUUUUACUGGCUUUAGUUAUUUUUACUGAAUCAUCUGAUUCAUUGGGCUACUUGGAUCAACGUAAUUAAAUAAAUGCUUUACCUAACAAGGACCCAUGUAUGGACAUCAGCCCUUACAACCAUACUUUGUUCCAAAAAAUACUUGCUGCCGCUGUUGCUGCUACUUUUCUUGUCUCCCAGGUAUAGCCACCUUACUGUCACAUGUACAGUACCAAUAACAGAAUGUUUUGCUCACUCAACAUGUAUUUAGAAUCCUUCUGUUUGUCCUAAUUGAACCUGAUGUUCCUGUAGAUGCCCCAGAAGAAAAGAAUAAAGAAAGAGGAUGCUUUGUUUCUUCUAAAUUCUGAGGAAGUGCUCCAAUCUUUCUCUCUCCAGAACAACCAGAGAUCCCCUAUUCUGGUCUUGCAUACCUAAGCUAUUGCCAGUAAAGGAAGUUUCUAUGAUUUUCUGGUGCCACUUAGAAUGCAGGAUUCACACCAGGGCUGCUCUGGGAUUCUGAGCUGGGCAAACCCAAUGUGGGCCCUAGAUAUUCGACAGCUUUCAACUUAGGGAAGAAGAAUGUCACGAGGUUAAAAGUGCAUGAGGGAGUUCUCAUCAUGGCUCAUGGUAACAAACCCCACUAGUAUCCAGGAGGACGCAGGUUUAAUCCCUGGCCUUGCUCAGUAGGUUAAGGAUCUGGCAUUGCUGUGCUGUGUGGUGUAGGUCACAGAUGUGCCUUGGAUCUGGUGUUGCUGUGGCUGUGGCAUAGGAUGGCAGCUGCAGCCCCAGUUCAACCCCUAGCCUGGGAACCUCCAUAUGCUGCAUGUGUGGCCCUAAAAAGAUUUAAAAAAAAAAAAA